AAUCAACACUCCACUCAGACAAUGCCCAGACCUCCAGAAACCAUGUGUCAAGCUCGGAUUGCCUUAGACAGAAGCUCACCCAGCUGGAACUCUUAUGGGACCUUGGCACCAGAGACCACAAAUUCCUCUUUGAAGUUUUCUAACAGCAACAAUGGAACAAAACCCAUCAGAAGAUGUCAGAAGAUAAGGAUUUUUGUCCUGAUGCUACACUUACCAGCUGUCCCUCAGUGUUCUACUUCUUAAAAAAAGAGAGAUGGAUAAACAGAGGCAACCCGAGGAUAAAGGCCUUGCUCAGUGUCACACAUUUCAGUCACUAAAUAAGACACAAUGGAUGCCAGUAUUCUCAUCCCCUCACAAAUAAAGAGCCUUCAAGCUCUUGCAGUCAACAAGAACUUUUGGAAUGAUUUCACUGCCUGAAAAGGCAGAUACAUAGGUGACACCCACAAAUAGGAAGAAAAUCAACCUGAACCUGAGUGUGUGGGCUCACUGACUCUAAGCAGUAGAGACAGAAGAAAAAGUUUUAGCAAAGAAGGGUUCUGAAAGAAAAUAAAUAUAGCUCGUUAUCAAGUGCUGUUUUUACACAGUAAAACAUGGGCAAAAUUACUCUUCUUUAAGUAGUAAUUCUUAUCUCUUGAUUAAGUCACCUACUCAUUCAUUUAAUAAAUACAUACUGAUUGUUUUCUAUGUGUUGAGCACUCAUCUCUGUAUUGGAAAUAUAAUAAUGACCAAAGUUGACAAUAGUAAUAACAAUAAUAGCUAAUAUAGCAGGCACUAAUAAUUAUUUGUUGAGUAAUAUGUCAAAAUUCAGUGUGAACAGCAUUCUAUUUGGGGCUGCAUCCACUGACUAUAACACAGCUAAUCUAUCUGAAAUGUUCCAGCUUUGGGCCUCUCUAACAGAAGAAGCUGUUGUUGGGCCUGCCUCUAGUUGGCGAUGCAUCCACCAAUGAGAAUGAAUUUAUGAUCGACCACUCUUCCUGUAAAGGCCGCUGGAACUGACAGCAUUGUGAUUUUCUUUUACUGUUAGUUUUAAAUUACUAGAACCAACUCAAUUACUAGAACGAACUUUACUUCUUUGUUUCCUACUUAUCAAAACAGUAAAAACAACAAGUAAAAGAAAUGCCAUCUUAAUAUUGUUUUGAUGACAAAACAGUAUUCCUUUUAGUUGUGCUUCAAAUGGAAUAAGAUGCAAACAGGCUUGGUAUGGUGGCUCACCCCUGUAAUCCCAGCCCUUUGGGAGGCCAAGGUGGAAGGAUUGCUUGAGGCCAUGAGUUUGAGACCAGCCUGCGCAACAUAGCAAGACCGUGUCUCUACAAAAAAUAAAAAAUUAGCUGAGUGUA
rnacentral:lncRNA from 1 species